CCAGACUCCUACGGGAGGCAGCAGUGGGGGAUAUUGCACAAUGGGGGGAACCCUGAUGCAGCGACGCCGCGUGGGUGAAGGAGCACCUCGGUGCGUAAAGCCCUAUCGGCAGGGAAGAAAAGCGAACAGGUUCGCCUGGACGGUACCUGACUAAGAAGCCCCGGCUAACUACGUGCCAGCAGCCGCGGUAAUACGUAGGGGGCAAGCGUUAUCCGGAUUUACUGGGUGUAAAGGGAGCGUAGACGGCGCGGCAAGUCUGAAGUGAAAGGCAGGGGCUUAACCCCUGAACUGCUUUGGAAACUGCCAUGCUAGAGUGCUGGAGAGGUAAGUGGAAUUCCUAGUGUAGCGGUGAAAUGCGUAGAUAUUAGGAGGAACACCAGUGGCGAAGGCGGCUUACUGGACAGUAACUGACGUUGAGGCUCGAAAGCGUGGGGAGCAAACAGGAUUAGAUACCCUCGUA
rnacentral:rRNA from 1 species